rnacentral:rRNA from 1 species
GACGAACGCUGGCGGCGUGCCUAAUACAUGCAAGUCGAGCGCAGGAAAUCGACGGAACCCUUCGGGGGGAAGUCGACGGAAUGAGCGGCGGACGGGUGAGUAACACGUAAAGAACCUGCCCUCAGGUCUGGGAUAACCACGAGAAAUCGGGGCUAAUACCGGAUGGGUCAUCGGACCGCAUGGUCCGAGGAUGAAAGGCGCUUCGGCGUCGCCUGGGGAUGGCUUUGCGGUGCAUUAGCUAGUUGGUGGGGUAAUGGCCCACCAAGGCGACGAUGCAUAGCCGACCUGAGAGGGUGAUCGGCCACACUGGGACUGAGACACGGCCCAGACUCCUACGGGAGGCAGCAGUGGGGAAUCUUCCACAAUGGACGAAAGUCUGAUGGAGCAACGCCGCGUGAACGAUGAAAGCCUUCGGGUCGUAAAGUUCUGUUGUAAGGGAAGAACAAGUGCCGCAGGCAAUGGCGGCACCUUGACGGUACCUUGCGAGAAAGCCACGGCUAACUACGUGCCAGCCGCCGCAGUAA